rnacentral:rRNA from 1 species
CAGCAGCCACGGUAAUACAGAGGCCUCAAGCGUUGUUCGGAUUCAUUGGGCGUAAAGGGUGCGUAGGCGGUCGGGUAAGUCGGAUGUGAAAUCCUGGGGCUCAACCUCAGAACUGCAUUCGAUACUGCUCGGCUAGAGUAUUGGAGAGGAGAGUGGAAUUCACGGUGUAGCAGUGAAAUGCGUAGAUAUCGUGAGGAAGACCAGCGGCGAAGGCGGCUCUCUGGACAAUUACUGACGCUGAUGCACGAAGGCUAGGGGAGCAAACAGGAUUAGAUACCCCAGUAGUCCCUGUCUCUUAUAC